GUCCUUGCAUUCCAACUGCUUCUUAUUAAUCUAAAUGCUGUUGCUUAGCUUUGCAAAGGAAGGCAGGGGAGACUGUAAACUGAUGAUGUGUUGCCAGAAGAGCGAGAAGAACACAAAACCUAUCUUCUGAGAAUAAAGCACUACCUAUCAAAGAUAAUUGAUGAAUGGAGAACAUGAAGAGAAAUAGGAGGAGGAUCUUCCCUCUGGAAGGAUCUCUCAAGCUGCAGAAUCAGAAGUAAAACAUUCCAUUCUAUUAUCUAAAACAUUAUUGUUCUCACCAACUGACAGCUACAAGUUUUCUUCUAAAACUCUCCCUCAGUUGGCAGAAGAUGCCCAGUCUUUACUUCAAAUGCUCUGUCAGCAAGUGGAGGCUUGAAAGAAUGAAAUUUGAGAAAUGAAAUGUAAUAACUCCAAUGUGAGUGUAUCAUCUCACCAGUGGCCUGCUAAAAGCUGUGGAACAGAUGCUGUGUCAGAUCGUACUCAGAGAGUGGAAAAUCUUCAUCAAGCUCCCUUAACAGGUCCCUUGCAGCCCGUCCUGGCAGCCUGCAGUAACAAAGCAAGGUGGCACAGCGAUGGAAAAAGGACUCGUUACUGGACAUUCAAAAUACAGAGAAGCUCCUGUUGUACU